rnacentral:rRNA from 1 species
GAUGAACGCUUGCGGUAUGCUUAACACAUGCAAUUCGAACGGUCACUUCGGUGAUAGUGGCGGACGGGUGAGUAACGCGUGAGAAUCUGUCUUCAGGUCGGGGACAACAGUUAGAAAUUACUUCUAAUACCGUAUGUGCCUUUGUGUGAAAGAUUUAUUGCCUGAAAAAGAGCUCGCGUCAGAUUAGCUAGUAGGUGGUGUAAGAGACUACCUAGGCUCCGAUCUUUAGCUGGUCUGAGAGGACGAUCAGCCACACUGGAACUGAGAAACUGUCCAGACUCCGAAGGGAGGCAGCAGUGAGGAAGAUACAGCAAUAGGGGAAAGACUGACGAAGCAAUACCGCGGGAGGGACGAAGGCUUUUGGGUCGUAAAACUCUUUUCACAAGGAAGAGGAUGACGGUAAUUGAGGAAUAAGAAGCGGCUAACUCUGUG